UGUGACAUGUUUUCCACACUUGCUACCUUCCACAAAUUACCAGCAACAGUGGGGAAGCCUAGGGCAGUGAAUGUCACUGGGAGUCAAGGUGCCUCACAGACAGGCAUGCUUGCCUUCAGCAAAUCUAGAGAUUUGGUCCUCGGGAACUCUUGGUAUCUCCAAGGAGAAGUGGCAACUAAAAAAGCAUUCUGAGUAUCUACAUUUCAGAUGUAAACACCUAAAUCCUUCUGCAAUCUUUAAUCUCCCUGAGUAGGAUGGCUGUAUAACUGUAAAGCAAACAUCUCAGCCGCUCACCCUGAAGUCUGUGCAAUCAACAACACAUUAAGAAAAAGUCUUAUUUUAUACAAAAGUCUGAUAUAUUACAAAUAUCUAAAAAAACCAAAAUAAAUCACUCCUAGAAAAGC